rnacentral:rRNA from 1 species
AUUGAACGCUGGCGGCAGGCCUAACACAUGCAAGUCGAGCGGAUGAAGGGAGCUUGCUCCUGGAUUCAGCGGCGGACGGGUGAGUAAUGCCUAGGAAUCUGCCUGGUAGUGGGGGAUAACGUCCGGAAACGGGCGCUAAUACCGCAUACGUCCUGAGGGAGAAAGUGGGGGAUCUUCGGACCUCACGCUAUUAGAUGAGCCUAGGUCGGAUUAGCUAGUUGGUGGGGUAAAGGCCUACCAAGGCGACGAUCCGUAACUGGUCUGAGAGGAUGAUCAGUCACACUGGAACUGAGACACGGUCCAGACUCCUACGGGAGGCAGCAGUGGGGAAUAUUGGGCAAUGGGCGAAAGCCUGAUCCAGCCAUGCCGCGUGUGUGAAGAAGGUCUUCGGAUUGUAAAGCACUUUUAGUUGGGAGGAAGGGCAGUAAGUUAAUACCUUGCUGUUUUGACGUUACCAACAGAAUAAGCACCGGCUAACUUCGUG